GUGUCUGGGGACCUAACAAUGAGAAUGUCUGGACAGUAAAAGUUUAGAGAUGGAAGAGGAGCUGUAUGGAUCAAGAAACACAUCUAGAGUAGGGAAGUAAACCCAAACAUACCACUCUGUUAAAGAAUAAAAUUGAUUUGCAUUUGCGCUACCUAAAUAUUUACUUUGAAAUUUUGCCCAUUUUUAUUUAGAAUUUUGAGAAAAACUAUUAAAAUAUCCCUUCCCUUCUCUUCCCUUUCCUUUCCUUCCUUUCUUCUAAAUCUGUUCCCUUCUUAAUCCUUUCUUCUCAGUCGUUUAUUUUCUGUUUCCUUCUGACAUCAAGUUUAUCUUCUAGCUAACCCAUUUAUUUUUCUGGUUUAUAAUAUAGGAACUGUGUGAAUUCUAGGAUGCUUGGCAGCAGGCACAUUUUUCUUGCAAAAUUAGAAGCAGAGUUUGAUCUUUUUAUCACACCACAUUUUCUUCACAGUAGUAGGAAAGAGGAGGAAGAUACUUUAAUCAGUGAAGACAAAAUAUCAGACAUCAUUCAUUUAAUUAAUUUGUUUUGUUUCAUCAUUGCAGUAUAAACAUUGUGCAUAUGGAAGUCAGUCUUUACACAAAAAUGAAUGCCAGGCAAUAUGCCACGAUUAAUCUCAAAUGCAUGAUUGCACUCUGUCUGAUGGUUGAUAGCCCUCAUCACCAGCCUGGACCUGUUUGGGUGCUGUGGGACUGUGCCCAGUUGGUGAGCGUGCUGGGAUCACCCUUAGCCCUGGCUUGUCCUCCCUUGUGAAUCACCAUAAAAUCAUUUGUGUGAAGUAGCUUUGCUCUUGGUGUUCCCAAAGGAGACCUCAAGCAAUGCCUGGGAACCUCAGCCUGAGCUGAAACAGAGCUUUUGGAGCUAUUGGCAGCAGGUAUGUCAGUUAAGGGCCACAAAGAGGCUGGCAAUGACAAGUAUGGUGUGUUGGGACUUUACAGUGCCCUGACAAGGCAUCCAAGGUUUGACCCUGUUCUUGUAGCACCACAAUGAAUGUGAAAUGUGCAUGUGUGAAUGGGCUAGGUCACUUGCUGAUCGGAGCAUCUGCCUGAAUAUGAACAUGGGAACUGACAAUGCAUAAUGAAAUAAAGGGUUGAUUUGACUCCUCUAGUCUUUCA
rnacentral:lncRNA from 1 species